AUUGAACGCUGGCGGCAGGCCUAACACAUGCAAGUCGAGCGGAUGAAGGGAGCUUGCUCCUGGAUUCAGCGGCGGACGGGUGAGUAAUGCCUAGGAAUCUGCCUGGUAGUGGGGGAUAACGUCCGGAAACGGGCGCUAAUACCGCAUACGUCCUGAGGGAGAAAGUGGGGGAUCUUCGGACCUCACGCUAUCAGAUGAGCCUAGGUCGGAUUAGCUAGCUGGUGGGGUAAAGGCCUACCAAGGCGAGGAUCCGUAACUGGUCUGAGAGGAUGAUCAGUCACACUGGAACUGAGACACGGUCCAGACUCCUGCGGGAGGCAGCAGUGGGGAAUAUUGGACAAUGGGCGAAAGCCUGAUCCAGCCAUGCCGCGUGUGUGAAGAAGGUCUUCGGAUUGUAAAGCACUUUAAGUUGGGAGGAAGGGCAGUAAGUUAAUACCUUGCUGUUUUGACGUUACCAACAGAAUAAGCACCGGCUAACUUCGUG
rnacentral:rRNA from 1 species